ACGGUUAGCUCAGCUGGUAGAGCAUCUGCUUGACGUGCAGGAGGUCAGGGGUUCGAGUCCCUUAUCGUCC
rnacentral:tRNA from 1 species